rnacentral:rRNA from 1 species
AUUGAACGCUGGCGGCGUGCCUAAUACAUGCAAGUAGAACGCAGGUGCGACCGGGUGAGUAACGCGUAGGUAACUGCCUCAGAGGGGGGGAUAACUAUUGGAAACGAUAGCUAAUACCCCAUACUGUGAGAUGGACCUGCGUUGUAUUAGCUAGUUGGUGGGGUAAAGGCCCACCAAGGCGACGAUACAUAGCCUACCUAUGAGGGGGGUCGACCACACUGGGACUGUGGAAACGCCCAGACUCCUACGGGGGGCAGGAGUAGGGAAUCAUCGGAAAUGGGGGGAAAGCUGACCGAGCACAGCCGCGUGAGUGGAGAAGGGUUUCGGGUCGUAAAACUCUGUUGUUAGAGAAGCGGUAACUAACCAAAAAGGGACGGCUAACUCCGUGCCAGCAGCCGCGGUAAUAC